ensembl:lncRNA
CAAGGGUCUAGGGACAGAUCCCCCAAAUGCCCCCACACAACGGUGUCUCCAGCUGCAGCGGAGGCGAGCGCCAGUGUGCUCGGUGCCACGUCGUAUUUGGCUCGGGAAAGCUCCGGAGCCCCUUUGACGCUCCGGGAGAUGCCUAGUGGAAAAGUCCAUCUUGGGACAAUCAGCUUUGCUGGGACACAGUUACCUGUGCGCUCUGAGAGGCAGCGGAUUUCUGGCUUAAGCGCAAGGGUGAUAAAAGCCAAGUCCUGCGGAUAAUUUCUUCCCUGCCCCGGAACUUUCUGGCGCAUUCACAGUUCACCCCAAAGCCUGUGGAACGUACCUUGUUCAGCUCCUGCUCAUAAACUCGUCCUCAGCCUGUCUGUGUGGUCCCGGAGGGUCGUGGAAGGCAGUCUCCAAAAUUGAGGUAAUAAGAAAUCAGAUGAAUUUGAGACGACCGGCCAAAAAAAAUAAAAAAUUUAAAAACAACAUUUAAAAAAAAGAGAGAGAAAGAGAGAUGGGGGAGCCUUAAAUGCUCGGUCCUCCCCUCUUUGAGAAGAAAUUGCACUAAAUAUGCUCUUUUAUUAUUUCCGUUGUACUUAAAUCUUCUAAUUCUUUUUGUUAAACGUGCUUUAAAAUAAAUUAAACUUUGCCCCCCUGCUUUGCUAGUCUCUCCAAUCCCCCUCCCUCCGACAAGGCAAAGUCUUUUUUCGGGUCAACCUAAAAGCCCGGUGUAGACCCAGCAGAGCCUAGGAAGAGAGAAGUCUUUGGCUGGUUCAAGUCCCGGUUCAAUGGGCUGCUCGGAGCCAGGACUGGAUAUGAAAGCAUACAAAAGGAACACUCGAGAAAGAAAUCUUAAAAUGAUGAUGAUGAUAACUAUGAAUCUGAGGACGCGUAAGGAAGGGAAGCGGCUGUCUCUAAAGACCGCUAAAGUCAUGACUUUUGGUUUUUGAGAGCCUUUAAUUUAACGAUGUCAAAA